CGUAAGGAAUCUACCUAUAAGCGGGGGAUAACAUUCGGAAACGGGUGCUAAUACCGCAUAAUAUCUUCUUCCGCAUGGAAGAAGAUUGAAAGACGGCUCUGCUGUCACUUAUAGAUGACCUUGCGGUGCAUUAGUUAGUUGGUGGGGUAACGGCCUACCAAGACGAUGAUGCAUAGCCGACCUGAGAGGGUGAUCGGCCACAUUGGGACUGAGACACGGCCCAAACUCCUACGGGAGGCAGCAGUAGGGAAUCUUCCGCAAUGGGCGAAAGCCUGACGGAGCAAUGCCGCGUGAGUGAAGAAGGCCUUCGGGUCGUAAAACUCUGUUAUAAGAGAAGAACAAAUUGUAGAGUAACUGCUACAGUCUUGACGGUAUCUUAUCAGAAAGCCACGGCUAACUACGUGCCAGCAGCCGCGGUAAUACGUAGGUGGCAAGCGUUGUCCGGAUUUAUUGGGCGUAAAGGGAGCGCAGGUGGUUUCUUAAGUCUGAUGUGAAAGCCCACGGCUUAACCGUGGAGGGUCAUUGGAAACUGGGAAACUUGAGUACAGAAGAGGAAUGUGGAACUCCAUGUGUAGCGGUGGAAUGCGUAGAUAUAUGGAAGAACACCAGUGGCGAAGGCGACAUUCUGGUCUGUUACUGACACUGAGGCUCGAAAGCGUGGGGAGCAAACAGGAUUAGAUACCCUGGUAGUCCACGCCGUAAACGAUGAGUGCUAGGUGUUGGAGGGUUUCCGCCCUUCAGUGCCGCAGUUAACGCAUUAAGCACUCCGCCUGGGGAGUACGACCGCAAGGUUGAAACUCAAAGGAAUUGACGGGGACCCGCACAAGCGGUGGAGCAUGUGGUUAAAUUCGAA
rnacentral:rRNA from 1 species